rnacentral:rRNA from 1 species
AUACGGAGGGUGCGAGCGUUGUUCGGAAUUACUGGGCGUAAAGCGCGCGCAGGCGGAUGUGCAAGUCGAAGGUGAAAUCCCGGGGCUCAACCCCGGGGCUGCUCUCGAUACUGCAUGUCUAGGGACCGGUAGAGGUCGGUGGAAUUCCCGGUGUAGCGGUGGAAUGCGUAGAUAUCGGGAGGAGCACCUGUGGCGAAGGCGGCCGACUGGGCCGGAUCCGACGCUGAGGCGCGAAAGCGUGGGGAGCAAACAGGAUUAGAUACCCUGGUAGUCCACGCCGUAAACGAUGGGUGCUAGAUGCUGGGGGGAGCGACCCCUUCGGUGUCGUAGCUAACGCAUUAAGCACCCCGCCUGGGGAGUACGGCCGCAAGGCUGAA